GCAUAUAAAUGACAUAAAAUCACAAAAAAUAUCUCCUAUUAAAGAGCACAGAAAUCAGGCUAUGUUUGAAAUCACAUACUAACAUACUGCCUACUACAUACUCAAUCACUAUGUGUUGCAUACUGCCUACUAAAUGAUUGAUUAAGUAUGCCAUUAUCAGCAGACCCUUCACAUUAUUAUCAAUUACAACAUUACCAGUCCGAGCUACCGUUGAAUGAAAACUGUUUCUCACACUCAACGUAAACAUUUCCAGUGUUAUUUAAAGGCAAAUUACAGUAUAUUAUAUAUGUGAGCAUGUUUCCUCUUAAUUGUACCUUAGCGUUCUGGGUCUACAGCAGCUCCUGCUUCAUGUUCACUCUCCAUUAUUUUUAUUUAUUUUAUCCAACCGUCUCUUACCAGCCACCGUGUGAGAGUACUUUCGACGCGGAGACGACGGAAGCAAUCAUCUUGUCGUCUGCAGUACAUGAUUCAGACGUGCAUGAGUUUUGGAUUUCCCCUCAGAACGUGGUCGGCUCGUCUCCUGGCUGCAGACCAGAGUUGAGUAAUUUUGCCUCUCUUAGAGACCUUGCUUAACGCAGCUUCAUCUUAGUCAAGAUCUCUGAUCUGCUGUCGAUAGUGAUUGAGCUGCAGCUUUGCGGCUCUCCCCAUCUCGCUGCUGGGAAGCUGGACCUCUC